GGAGCUGUUACCUGGAGAUGUUCAGAUACAAAGGAAAACUAGAAAAUACGUGAGGGAAUAUUUGCUGGGAAAUUACUUGGUUGGAACCUGACCAAUUGACGAAUACUAACAGCAUCCUGGGAGUUGACGAAUACUAACAGACCUACAAAUGUCACUGGCUAGCAACGUAAUUUUUAAAUGAGGGGUCGCUGUCUUUCCAUUGAAAGAGGCCAGUUUGCUGUGACCUUCCUAAGAUGUAACCCAUUUCUGGUUAAUACCACCAGAUUUACUUGUGAAAAAUCGAUAAGGAAAAGCUCUUCAUUUAACUGACAUGGGAAGAAAACCUACAAAUCAAGACAAUAUUUUUUUAUUUCUGUAAACAGGUUAUGAAACCGCAUCAAAUUCAGAUUAAUGUAUUUGUAAGAUUUAAGCCAUUACUUUUUAUGUCAUACUGCCCUAGAGAAUCCUAACCUGUUAAGCAGAUUACUUUGUAGAUCUAUUUCUAUUUUAAAUACAGGAAUGCAAAGGAAGGUACAUAUUUUUAAUGGAGAAGUCUUUGAUUUCAGUUAACCAGACUUGUAAUCAGCUUAUUGUGAAUGUUUCACCUUUGGCCACCUGUUUGAAUUUAAAAUCUACGAUUGUAAUUAAAGCUGAGUGAAAAUUUA